GACGAACCGUGCAAACGUUGUUCGGAAUCACUGGGCUUAAAGGGCGCGUAGGCGGGCGGUCAAGUCCGGGUGAAUCUUUCGGCUCAACCGGAAAAUGGCCUUGGAUACUGACUGUCUAGAGCGAGGUAGGGGCAUGUGGAACUUCCGGUGGAGCGGUGAAAUGUGUUGAUAUCGGAAGGAACACCGGUGGCGAAAGCGACGUGCUGGACCUCUUCUGACGCUGAGGCGCGAAAGCCAGGGGAGCAAACGGGAUUAGAUACCCGUGUAGU
rnacentral:rRNA from 1 species